AUUGAACGCUGGCGGCAUGCUUUACACAUGCAAGUCGAACGGCAGCGGGGACUUCGGUCCGCCGGCGAGUGGCGAACGGGUGAGUAAUACAUCGGAACGUACCUAUUAGUGGGGGAUAACUAAGCGAAAGUUUAGCUAAUACCGCAUACGACCUGAGGGUGAAAGCAGGGGAUCUUCGGACCUUGCGCUAAUAGAGCGGCCGAUGGCUGAUUAGCUAGUUGGUGAGGUAAAGGCUCACCAAGGCGACGAUCAGUAGCGGGUCUUAGAGGACGAUCCGCCACACUGGAACUGAGACACGGUCCAGACUCCUACGGGAGGCAGCAGUGGGGAAUCUUGGACAAUGGGCGAAAGCCUGAUCCAGCAAUGCCGCGUGGGUGAAGAAGGCCUUCGGGUUGUAAAGCCCUUUUGUACGGGAGCAAAUCCUUGUCGCUAAUACCGGCUGGGGAUGAGAGUACCGUAAGAAUCAGCACCGGCUAACUACGUGCCAGCCGCCGCGGUAA
rnacentral:rRNA from 1 species